rnacentral:rRNA from 2 species
CAGGUAGGACUACCCGCUGAACU